GAUAUCGCGCCGGACUGAACGGAUAACUUUGAUGACGUUAACUAUGGGAACCCCUUCCCCGAUAUCU
rnacentral:tRNA from 1 species